rnacentral:lncRNA from 1 species
GAAGAGAAGGUGUGUGCGCGUGAGAGGAGUCAACAUCGAGAGAACGUGUUUGUUCAAGAGACACCGAGGAAGACUACUAUAUAUCGAUGGUGCAUGUAGGCGGGAAUUGAACAAAGGGAUGGUCUUAUUGGUUUCGGGGAUAUAGGGGAAAGGUGAGAGGCGGGGGGUAGCUAGAAGGAGAUUGUUAAGUGUGAGUGUGUGUUUUACCCAUCCAGGCGGAAGUUAUGUGCACAAAAGAGGAGAACGAUUCGAUGUGGCGUUAGGAUUGAGGGUAAUUAACUACGUAUGGAGACAUAGAGACCUUGAACGUGCAUGUGUGAGAGGUAUACAUGUAUACGUGGGAUGUGUGUGUGCGCGCGCGCAUGAUCGAGAUAAAAGAAAGAAGACAUAAGUCAUAAGAUCAACGGCAUGGGAGAGACGGAUCGGUAUGACAAUAUGCAUGCAUGUGAGAAUGCAGGGAAGAAGGCCCGACAAUUGAGCAUGUGUUUUUGUCUUUAAGAGAUAGUGGCGUGGGCUGGAGCAUGCAUCUAUGGCGAGCAGAGGGAGUGAGGCGCAACGAUUGUGCAAAAGAGACCAACCUAUAAAUGCAUAUGUAUGGAGAGACAUAUAUAGUGUGGGUGAUAGGAAGCAAGACUCCGUGCGAGAAAGAAAUGUCGGCGGAGAAACUACAGAUAGAUACAGAGAUGGAGAUGCUAGCUAGAGGGACAUCCGCUAGUUUGGGUGUUGGAGAUGACCGUCGGGUGGUUCAAAGGGUGAAGUUAUAUAUGUGUGUGAGAGGGCACUUGACUGCAUGUAGAGAGAAACAUAUGUAGUGUGCGUGAUAGGAAUCAAGAGUGAGGGCGAGAAAGAAGGUUGAUGGAGAAACAGAUAAAUAGAAAGAUAAAGAUGCUAGCUAGUGUGCGUUAGAGAUAGGAGUCGAGUGGAUCAGAAGGUUGGGUUAUGUGUGUGGGUGUGAGAGAGAUAGAGAGAGGGUGCAUGUGAGUCACAUACAAACAGAUAUCAGAGAGAAAUGAGAUCCAGAGAGACGGAGUUUUGUGUUUGCGAGAGAGAAGGAUAUUUUACAACGAGAGUGAUAGCUAGAGAGACAUACGAGGGAACGCAAGAUAUCUCUAGGGAGAGAGGGUGUGUGUGAGCGACAUACAAGAGAACAAUGGAGAAAUAUGAGACCCUGGGAGACAGAGUUUGUGUUUGUGUGUGAGAAAGAGACAUUGAAGAGGAAAGAGUGGUAGGUUAUCAUAUCUAAGGAGCGAAAGAAAUCUCUGUAUGAGGGGUGUGCGAGUGGCACACAUGGGAAUAGUAGAGAGAAAUGAGACCCCGGGAGACAAAGUUUUGUGUUUGUGUGAGAGAAAGAGAUUCCACAUGGAGAAUCAUAGUUACAGACACAUAGCAGGGAGCGAGAUAUACUUAGAGAGAGAUAGAGUGAUGAAGGUCGAGGGAGAGAGUACCGUCAGUGUGUUACGAAGAUAAAAGAUCAUUGUCGACAUACAGGUAGCACGAGAGAUACCUGAGAGACGAUGAACGCGUAUAGGUCCAGAGAGAUAGUCCUAUAUAAGCAUGAGUGAUAGCUAUAUGAGACGAAUAUCUGGAUUAAAGGGGAUUCAAAUAUUUAAACUAGAGAUCACGACAUCGAUAAUAUCAUAACGCAAAUUGGUGUAUCAAACAUGCAUAUUCAUUUGAAUUUGGGCACACGUGUAAUGUUAUAUAGUUUAUCAAUAUUGGUGAUCCAUAGAUUCUUCAAUUACAAACAAUGCAUGGUUAUAUGCAAUUAAUGUAUAAACGGGAUUACACUAUAUGUUGCAUGUGUGAAACACAUUAUACAUGUUUGAUAAGUAAAAAAACCCACAUGAAACACACAUUAAUUGGAGACAGUUAGCGAGGAAUGCAUACAUUGGAUUUCAACAUAAAGUGGUUUCAAAUAUUUGAAAAUCCAAAUUGAUGGAUACAACCUUAUGAAUCUGAGAUCAUGCCAUUUGUAAACCAUAUUUAUGUAUAAAUGGUGUUGUGCUUUUGAAAGUAUAUAUAAAAAAAGAUGUAUAUAGAAUGUAAUUCCAAUUGAAAAUGGAUCCCGCCCGAAAAAAAUAGAAUACAAACAGGAUUCGAAUUGAGUUGGCAUGGUAAACGUGCACUCUGCAAAAUUUGAACGAAGCGGGGAAAGUCGCAGUAACCGCCCGAAACCAAAAUCUGCGAGAUGGAAAUCACUACUGCCUAUCCCUGCCACGCAAAGCCUAUCUGCUGGAUUUCUAUAGGUUUCGAUAGGGGUAGGUUUGUAAUUUCACCCAAACGUGACGUAACCGCCUCUCACCCGGAUUCAUACAUGGUGGGCGCCAAAACACAGUGUGUCAUCGGCCGAAAUCGACUCCCUCCCCGAUUCAUAUUCAUACACGGUGGGCGCCAAAAACAAACUCUCGUCAGCAAAUAUUCGGUGUAUGCGAGAUUACCGUCCUAUCCCCAACCGACUAAUGUUGCUGUGAUGUAGUAGAAAUUUGAAACGGGGGCUAAGUUUGUAAAUUUCCUCGCAUUUGAGACAAGCAUGCCCUAAAUACAUGGUUCCCCCCUUCCUCUCUACCUCCCUUUUCCCCAUUCGUACUCCGUGGGCGCCAAAACACCCUCUCCACCCCACCCUCCUCCGUCCGCCGCCGUCCGCCACCCCAUCCACCGCCGUCCUCCUCCACCAUGCCGGAGCUGAUACCCCGACGCCGCUGUCCAUUACAAGAGAUCGACCUCUCUCAUCCACGGCUUCGGACCAGGAUCCUUGCAUCCCGUCCUCUCGCUUCAUCCCCGCCGUCGUCCACCUUGCCGGCGCCGCUCCUACAACCGUCUUGUCCACCGCGCCCCGCCGCCACCGUCUACCCUCCUAGAUCUGCUUCCACGCCGCCGACAGCCAUCGCUACCGCAGCACCGUCAAAUUCUCAGCAGAUGCGUACACGGCGCCGCACCAGAGGCGGUAAGCUUUCGUAUCUGCUCAACUUAUUUAUCGCAGCAAGAAAAUAGAUCGCCACUGCUUUACUCUGAUUUCUUGUCUUGGUUGCGAAGUUGCCUUUGUCCGGUUUGCACCUUCAGAUCCGCCAUGGCACGCUCAACACUAUACUCCCAAUGCUUAUGGUUUUCCCCUUUUAUAUUCCACACUAGUUAAAUCACAGUAGACUAAAUUUCAAAAUUGGGUCAGUCGAUUUUUCAGAGCUCGCCGGAGUUCGCCGGUGCGAACGAAGGGGCUCGGGUGGUUGUGGGGCCUCGCCGAACGAAGCUCGACGCGGGUGGGGGUUGGGACGGGGGUGGGGAGUGGGGUUGGCGGAGGAACACAGGCAGCGGGGGCCGGUGGUCCGGCCGGCAGCCCGUGCGGUGUUCUGUAUGGGAAGAAUCAGAGACGAGGAAGAAGAUGGGUUAGAAGACGUAGGAUCUUCAUCCAACCACCUGAAAUGGUCGAGAGACAACUGGGAGUUGCAUUCUUAAUGCGCUCUGGUUCAUCAUGUGUGGGCACUGCGCAACCAGCAUUUUAUUAUCCAAAAUCUGCUUGCUCUUCUUUACCAUGUUCCUCUUCCGUUCUUCUUUAAUAUGUACUCUCUCCGUUCCUAAAUACAAGUCUUUGUAUAGAUUCCACCAUGGACUACAUAUGGAGCAAAAUGAGUGAAUCUACACUCUAAAAUGUGUGAUCCAUAGUGGAAAUCUCUACCAAGACUUAUAUUUUGGAACGGAGGGAGUAUGAUAGUGGUACAGUAUGUUCCUUGUACUGAAGAUGAGCAGGGACUUUUGCAGUGUAGAGGUCUAUACGGUCGGUUGUGAUGGACACUUUGAGCCUCUUUGAUUCUUAGAAUCUUAUAAACAUAGGAAUAGGAUUUGUAGUCACCUGCCCACUUGAAUCCUAUAAGAAUAGCAAGGAAAUGCGGGGAGCUGUGUCGCCUUUGAGAGUAACACUGAUAUUAACAGUACCGCACCUUCACUUGAAGAGAGCUGGUAUCCGAAGCCUUUCUAGCCGUACUGGCAAUACUAGCACAUAUAUUCCAGCAAGUUCCACUUUGCUGAUUUUACUCUGAUGCUUACGGUUUUCCUCGUUAUAUCUACACUAUGAUCUGUGUAGCUGCUUUGUGUCGCACUAGCAGCAGUCCACUCUUGAAGCUAAACACUGCAGUGACUUACAAAAUUGGCACCAAGGCAUUGAGUGCCAUUCUGGAUGCAAUGAAACUCAUAUGCUCCCCACCUGUUGAUUCUUGUUCAGAAUAUGAUCCUAAUGACUCUUGUUCAAAAUUGCCACAUAUAGAGAGACAGCAUGGAAUUGCAUUUCUUUGGGCGCUGUGAUUCAUCAUGAGUGGGCAACCAACAUUGUAUGCAAUGAAGCGGAACCUCAAGAAUAUGCUUCCUCUUCUGUUCUUUAACAUGUUCCUCUUUGUUUAUUCUGUAUUUAGUACGUACAGUAUGUUCCUUGUCAGGAAGGGGCGCAGGGACAUCUGCAGUCAACAGCUGAUAGAGCUGGCAUGCACGUGAUCGAUAGGCUUUCAAUUACUAGUGGCAAUACAACACCGUAUUUUCAAGCCAGUUCCACUUUCCCGAUUUAUAUAUCGUGGUUAUGGUGUACCCCUGUUAUGUACACUAUGAUAUGCCUAUUUGUUGUGUGCUCUUGUUAUCAUGGUUUGGCAAUAAACUCUCUAUAUAGUAUAUUAUGAACCUAUCAUCUGCCAGCUAUCCUUACUUCUAGAGCCUAUUUUUUGUGUACUUGUGCCAGAUUAUAUAAAUGCACGCACCAUAUUACAGCACACAUGAGCUCUCUCAUCAAAAUCCAGUGAUAGCACACAAGUGUUUACAGGGGCGCCCCUAUAUUAGAAUAUCAUCUGCAUUACAAAGAUAAUCUCACAACUAUUUAUGUUUUCAUGGUUCUCAGAUAUUAUACGCAAUUACAGUGAAUAUCAGAAUCCGCGCAUCAGAAGAAUAUUGUGGCACACUGCAAUGACUUACAAAAUUAGCACCAAGGCAUUGAGUGCCAUUCUGGAAGCAAUGAAACUCAUACGCUCCGCACCUGUUGAUUCUUGUUUAGAAUAUCAUCCUAAUGACUAUUCUAACCUCGAGGAGACAAAGGCAGAUGGCCUGUCCUAUUCACCCAUCAAGGUGCCUGUUCUAAUUUGGCAAGGUUUUAUUGAUUGCGCGUAUCUUGCAUAUUUUGUCUUGCAUUUCUUCUACUUUGUUCCACCGCCAUCUGCUUAGUUUACUCAUCAUAUAACUCGAGAUGCCAUGCCCAUCCAUUAUCAAUACAUAUUCCAUCUGUCAUCAUACCAUGUUUUUCCACUCAAAUGUUGUCCUUGUGCAUCAGACAUCAAAAAGGAAGAGGGUGAUUGCCGAACCUGAAGGAGCACCAACAAAGUCCUUGAAAAACGUGGUGGUGCCGGAGAAAUCAGACAGCGCCCCACUUAUAUUGGCUGUACAACCAGUGACACUAAACGUAGGACCGACUCCGGCAGACUGUACCCAUACUUCACUGGCCACACCACUAGCCCCACCACACAGGACCUGCACUCCAGGAAAAGGUAUACCGAUUUCAUUUGCCAUAGCACCAGCUGUACCACAGAAAAAUCCCACUCCAGCAAAAAGUACAGCAAGUCCACUGGCCGAAGACCUAUCCCAACUGCAGAGACGGACAAUUCCUGCAGAUUGGAACCCCAUUCCCUUUAUUCCCAGUUUAAAAGACAAUGCUUUCAAUGUUGUUAGGGACUACGUGCAUAUAUUCCCAUCAUGGGAAGAUUAUAGUGAAGACAAACACCAUUUUCACAUCUUCCUGUCCAACUUACGUGUAAGUGCUAUUAUUCAUGGUUAUUAUUUUCUUGUUUUCUGCUGAUCGAACACAUCAAUGAUUUACAUUACAUUGUUGUAACUAGGCGAGGGUCAAUCUGGAUAGUCAUGACGAGCAAAGCUUGCUUGUGCUUUUCAAGGAAGCAUUGCAGCAGUAUCGGUGUUACCUGAGGAAAUCACACUUUGAUGGCAAGUCUAUAAACGAAUUUUCGGUGAAGUCUCCUGUGCUAAAUUUAGAAGACAUUGAAUGGAAAAACCUUGUUAUGCACUGGUCUCGUUCCCAGGAUGAGGUACUGUCUAUGAAAUCAAAUGACAAUUUGAACUUCUACUUUUCCGCAUGUGCCUUACGGAUCUUUUUUGUAGGAAAUCUGCUCGAAGAAGAAUUCUGGUUUGAAAAGAACGACAGGAUAUCGCAAAUAUGCUGCCCGUUGUUUUGCUCUUGUUAGUACCUAUUGUCCUGUAUCACUGUACUUGCAUACAUACCUUGUUCAUUAUGUGACAGCGGUAUGCAUGAUAGCUUGCUUAUCAAUUGUUCGCUCCAAAUUAUCUGAUCUGUAUGAAUGGUUACAUUAGUGUAGAAUAUAUCUAAUGCCAAUGAUUUUUUUAGCUCUGCAUUGUUCUUGUAAGUACAUGUUGUCCUUUAUCAGUGUACUUAUAUUGACAGGUAGUUGUUCAUGUACCAUCACUCUGCAGCUUAUUUUCCUUUGCCCUCCAUUUUCUACACAUCCGAUCUAUAUUUACUCUUACCAUAAGGUUGGUACUGAAGAAGUUUAGCUGUGCAUUGCUCUUGGCUGUGCCUUUUGCCUGUAUCGCUGCACAUACAUUUAUAGCUACUUGGUUAUGUAGCAUCACUCUUCAUCUUAUCUUAAAUAUUCUCCAUUUUUCGUAUAUUAUCACAUCUAUAUUUACUCUUAACAAAAUGGAAUAAAGGCAAUGCUUAUGAAGAAGAUUCUGUGGUAAACUUCUUGAAUUGCCCCCCCAUCAGCAUGGACAAGGGCUUUAUAGAGCCUGUCUUCACCAGUAAUGUAAGUUUGUCCUUCUCAAGCCUUCAAACUUUGUUGUGUAUAUUUGGUUAGGCAUGACUGCAACAGCUGUUUAUUUUUGGUGUUUGCAUCAAAUUGCAUGUUUAAAGUUUAUUAUGUAGUUCAUAAACAAAAGUUUGUCCUUCUCAAUUUAAGUUUUCAGUUGUACAACCAAAUUCCUUCUUCAUACCAUGUAAAUUAAACUAUACAGAGCAAGUGAUCUUCUUUUGCACUGCAUGUAUGCUUCUAUUCUUCAUCCGUAAUCCAGUGGUGUGGUGAACCUACCCACUACAACACAAUGUCAUUUUCUGCAAUGUCUUAACUAUGAACAAUGUCAUAUCAUUCUACUAUUAUUUAAACCGUCUCUUUAUUUGCCAAUCUGAAAUGGGAGAAAUUGACAGCACACUAACCAUUGAUACUUAUGAGUUCUUGAUCUGUAAUCCAAUGGUGUCGUGAAGCUGCCAACUCCUUCACAAUGUCAUUUCCUGCCAUGUCUUGAACUGAACAAUACCAUAUUGUGUUAAUGCAAUUUUAAACUGUGUCACUUUAUUCGUCAGUAAGAAAUGUGAUGAAUUGUCAGCACUGAUACUUUUAUGUGCAAAACAUGUCAUCUGUCUGCUUGUUUAUCUUUCAGAGUGAGGAAGAUAUAAGUGUUGAACAAGCGCAGUCUCAUCAUCUUGCUCAGGUGGUUGCGCUGCAGCUCGCCAGCAGGGCUAACCUUUCUAGAACUCUAUUGAAGUGUUGUCGGUUUUGUAUAUUAUUUUGUCGACGUGUUUAUUUGCACUGGUGGUGAUCUUUGAUGCCCAGUGUAUGUAAUCUGUUGUCUGCUUGUGCUUUAUUAUCAUAGUGGCGAACUUUGAUGCCCAGUGGAUGUAAUAUGCCGUAAUUUCUUUAUUGUAUAGUCUAGGUUUUUUCUUAUUCACGAUGCUGCAGUUAUUUUACUGUAUAUAUAUAUCCUGUCUUCGUAGUAAACCGGCCAAACCGUAAAAUUACGGUACAUAAUCGGGCUGUCAUGCAAUCACGAUGUAUGAUCCGCAUCAUGGGCCUCGUCAAACUGGCCCACUAGUAGAUUCGGGCCUUUAAUAGGCCGAGUAACCCCCGGCCCUCUUUUCGCAAGAAAACUCAAUGGGCUUUUAGGAGGCUGAGAAGUAGGUUGGGCCAGAAACGUGCCGAACAGCUCACGGGCCGGCAGCAGCCCGAAAUGGACCCCGGCCCAUGAUUGUGCGAAUCAAAUCACGGGCUUUUAACAGGCUAAAAUUGUCUCGGUCCUUGUUAUGCCCAACCAGAUAUCGGCUGCGAGCAGGCCGGAUGCAAACCGGGUCGUAGUUAGGCCCAACUAUAUGACGGGCUUUUAACAGACCGAAAUUAAUAUAGGGCCAAAAUGUUAAACGGGCCCUUAAUAGGCCGAAACUAAUAUCAGGCCGAAUUACUAAAUGGGCCUUUAGCAAGUGGGCCCAAAAGCAUAGCGUCCAGUUAACGGGCCCAAUCUGAUAUGGGCCAUAAUUGAGGCCAAAGCCUCUUAAAGGGCUGGACCUGAUCUGGGCCGUGAUUUGGCCCAGAACGUGGGAGGCUUUUAACGGGCCGGAUCUCAUAUGGGCCAUUAUUAGGCCUGGAACAUGGCAGGCCAUUAAUGGACCGGAUCAAAUAUGGGCCGGCAUUUAGCCCAAAACAUGGCAGCCAAUUAAUGGGCCGGCCUACUAGGGUCCUCAAAAUCUUGUGGGCCUAUAGCUAGGCCGGCCCAUUAGUGUCGGCGAAAUCUCGUGGGCCUUUAGCUGGGCCGGCCCAUUAUGAUCCACAAGAAUUUUGUGGGCCUUUACCUGGGCCGGCCCAUUAUGGCACACAAAAAUCUUGUGGGCCUUUACCUGGGCCGGCCCAUUAUGGCCCGCGAAAUCUUGUGGGCCUUUAGCUGGGCCAGCCCAUUAUGGUCAAUAAAAUCUCGUGGGCCUUUAGCUGGGCCGGCCCACUAUGGUCCGCAAAAUCUUGUGGGCCUUUAGUUGGGCCGGCCCAUUUAAACUUGAUGGGCCGUGCCACGUGUCGACGUAUCAUAGGCGCCUUCUGUCCAAUGACUGGAUGACAUCUGUCCCAACAUUGAGCCGACACGUGUUUCCUCCAGCCAAUGAUGAUUUUACACGUGGAAAAUCCCCAUUGGUCGCGGCUGUUAACGGGUUAUCGGAUCCAAAACCCGACCCGAUAGCUUAACGGCGUUCCUUUACGGUGGAUGCCACGUGUCGGUCACCCUUGACGAAAGCACUUCUGUGAUGCGCGAUUUAUCAUCAUGGAAGUGGACACUUCCGUGAUGAUAAUUUUGGUAAUGUCAUGGAACACUUCUACGACAGCACAGGUAUGACUAUCUUGAUUCUGUCAUAAAUUUGUCAUGGAUGUACAUGCAUGACAAAAAACGCGACCUACUGUGACAAACACGUAUCAUCAUGGAAGUGUAUUUUUUUGUAGUGACAGCGGGAAUCCCUCCCGCUUGCGCGACGCGGAGAGCACCAUAGGACAGCACCAAAGUAAAACAUACAACUCAUACCAAUCUAGAUCAUCAAUCAGCCCAAAGACAAAAGAUAUCUACUCAAAACAUCAUAGGAUGGCAACACAUCAUUGGAUCAUAAUAUGUGGCAUAAAGCACCAUGUUCAAGUAGGGAUUACAGCGGGGUGCGGGAGAGUGGACCGCGUAAAAGAGAUGAGGAUGGUGAUGUUGAUGAAGACGAUCACCGUGGCGUUGAUUCCCCUCCCGAUGGCACUCCGGCGCCACCAAGAGAGAGGAGGAGAGGUUCUCCCCCUUGUGCUUCCUCCUCCAUGGCCUCCCCCUAGAUGGGGAAAGGUUUUCCCUCUGAUCCUUGGCCCUCAUGGCGAUGAUGGCCUCUCCGGGAUACUCCUCCAUGGCCACCCGUGAUGAUGGCCCCCUCCGGCAGGGUGCCGGAGAGGGCCUAGAUUGAUUUCUCGUGGCUACAGAGGCUUCUGGCGGCGGAACUCCCGGUCUAGGUUUCUUUCUGGAAGUUUGGGUAUAUAUGAGAGGUGUUGGCAUUGAUUUCACGUCAGGGGGGUUUCCGGGCUGUCCACGAGGCAGGGGGCGCCCCCCCCCCCCUCGUGGGCAGCCCGGGACUCUUCUGGCCUACUUCCGGUACUCCGUGGGCUUCUUCUGGUCCAAAAAUGAUCUCCUUCAAGUUGCACGUCAAUUGGACUCCGUUUGGUUUUCCUUUUCUGCGAUACUCUAAAACAAGGAGAAAACAGAAACUGGCACUGGGCUCUAGGUUAAUAGGUUAGUCCCAAAAGUCAUAUAAAAUAGCAUAUAAAUGCAUAUAAAACAUCCUAGAUGGAUAAUAUAAUAGCAUGAGGACUUCAUAAAUUAUAGAUACGUUGGAGACGUAUCACCAGCCUCCGUGGCCCAUCUUCUAGUAUAUAAUCCCAUUUUCCCUAGAAAUAAUAAAGAGAGGACUUUCGGGACAGAGCGCCGCCGUCUUGAGGCGGAACUUGGGCAUGAGCACUUUUGCUCUCCGGUGGAGCUAUUCUGCCGAGGAUACUUCCCUCCGGGAGGGGGAAAUCGAAGCUAUCAUCAUCACCAACAACCCUGUCAUUGUGGGAGGGCCAAUCUCCAUCAACAUCUUCACCAACACCAUCUCAUCUAAAACCCUAGUUCAUCUCUUGUAUUCAAUCUUUGUCUCAAAACCUUAGAUUGGUACAUGUGGGUUGCUAGUAGUGUUGAUUACAUCUUGUAGUUGAUACUAGUUGGUUUAUUUGGUGGAAGAUUAUAUGUUCAGAUCCUUGAUGCUAUUCAAUAACCCUCUGAUCUUGAACAUGAAUAUUAUUUGCGAGUAGUUACUUUUGUUCUUGAGGACAUGGAAGAAGUCUUGUCAUAAGUAAUCAUGUGAAUUUGGUAUUCGUUCGAUAUUUUGAUGACAUGUAUGUUGUUGUUUCCCUUAGUAGUGUUAUGUGAACGUCAACUACAUGACACUUCACCACAUUUGAGCCUAAGGAAUGCAUUGUGGAGUAGUAAUUAGAUGAUGGGUUGCUAGAGUGACAGAAGCUUAAACCCUAGUUUAUGCACGAUUCCAUAAGGGGCUGAUUUUGAUCCAUAUGUUUCAUGCUAUGGUUAGAUUUAUCUUAAUUCUUCUUUCGUAGUUGCCGAUGCUUGCGAGAGGGGGUAAUCAUAAGUGGGAGGCUUGUUCAAGUAAGAACACCACCCAAGCACCGGUCCACCCACAUAUCAAAUUAUCAAAGUAACGAACGUGAAUCAAAUAAACAUGAUGAAAGUGAUUAGAUGAAAUUCACGUCUGUCCUCAAGAACGCUUUGCUUAUUAUAAGAGAAUUUUCCAGCCCGUCCCUUGCUACAAAAAGGAUUGGGCUCCCUUGCUGCACCUCUUGUUACUAUUGCUACUUGUUGCUCGUUACAAAUUACCUUUCUGAAAACCUCUUGUCAUUUCCUUCUGCUCCUAGUUGGGUUCGACACUCUUACUUGUCGAAAGAACUAUGAUUGAUCCCCUAUACUUGUGGGUCAUCAAGACUCUUUUCUAGCGCCAUUUCCGGGGAGUGAAGCACCUUCGUAAGUGGAAUUUGGUAAGGAAACAUUUAUAUUAGGUGCUGAAAUUUACUGUCAUUUGUUACUAUGGAAAACAAUCCUUUGAGGGGUUUGUUCGGAGUAUCUUCACCUCGACCGGAGGCACAAAGAGUUGUCCCUCAACCUACUGCACCUGCUGAAAAUGUUUAUUAUGAGAUCCCUUCGGGUAUGAUAGAGAAACUGCUAGCUAAUCCUUAUGCAGAAGAUGGAACAAUACAUCCUGAUAUGUACUUAAUAUAUGUGGAUGAAGUUUGUGGAUUAUUUAAGCUUGUAGGUUUACCCCAAGAUGGGGGUUAAGAAGAAGAUUUUCCCUUUAUCUUUGGAGGAAAAGGCAUUGACAUGGUAUAGGCUAUGUGAUGAUAUUGCAACAUUGGAUUGGAACCGACUGAUAUUGCAACUCAUGUUCAUCGUGAUCGGAAUUGUAUAUAUAGUUUUCGGCCUUGUGAAGGAUAAAGUAUCGUUCAAGCCUGGGGGAGGCUUAAUUACAUGAUGUACACAUGCCCCCAAUCAUGAGUUCUCAAUGGAAAUUAUCUUACAAAAAUUUUAUGCUUGGCUUUCUCAGAAUGAUCAAACCAUGCUCGAUUCUUCUUCUAUUGGUUCCUUUAUGAAGAAAAUCAUUGAAAUCAGAUGGGAUCUUAUGGAAAUAAUUAAACGCAACUCUGAAGAUUGGGAACUCGACAAAGGUAAAGAGUCAGGUAUAAAACUUGAGUUUGAUUGUGUUAAAUUUUUUAUGGACAUCGAUGUUUUUCAUAUGUUUAGCACUAAAUAUGGACUUGACUCUAACAUAGUAGCCUCUUUUUGCGAAUCAUUUGCAACUCAUGUUGAUCUCCCUAUGGAGAAAUGUUUUAACUUAUCUCCCUAUUAAAGAAAAGAUUGAGGAACCCGUUAUAGUUAAAGAUGAAACUAUCAUUUACAAUGUUGAUCCAGUCAUGCCAACUGCUUACAUUGAGAAACCUCCAUUCCCUGUUAGGAUAAAGGAACAUACUAAAGUCUCAACUAUGGUCAAUAAAAGUAAUAUUGGAACACCUAGACCCUAUGAACAAAUUAAAUUUGAACCUAAUGUUGUUGCUAUGGUUAAAGAUCUCUUGGUCGAUAAUAUUGAUGGGCAUGUUAUUUACUUCUGUAAUGAAGCUACUAGAAUUGCUAAGUCAAAUCCUAAAGAUAAGAAGCCUGUUGUUGGCAUGCAUGUUAUCUCUGUUAAGAUAGGGGAUCAUUGUUAUCAUGAUUUAUGUGAUUUGGGUGCUAGUGUAAGUGCUAUUCCGUUUACCUUAUAUCAAGAGAUUGUGAAUGAUUUUGCAUCUGCUGAAAUAGAGGACAUUGAUGUUACUAUUAAGCUUGUGAAUAGAGAUACUAUGUACCACUUGGGAUUGUUAGAGAUGUUGAAGUCUUGUGUGGAAAGAUGAAAUACCUUACUGAUUUUCUAGUUCUUGGUUCUCCACAAGAUGAUUUUUGUCCCAUUAUAUUUGGUAGACCUUUUCUGAAUACAGUUAAUGCUAAGAUAGCCUGCAAUAGAGAAACUGUAGCGUUAACUUUUGUGGCGUAUCUCACGAGUUUAAUUUUUCUAAAUUCCGUAGACAACCUCGUGAUAAAUAAUUACCUAGUAAGGAUGAAAUUAUUGGUAUUGCCUCUAUUGUCAUACCUCCUACUCAUCCGUUAGGACGAUAUUUGCUAGACCAUGAAAAUGAUAUGCAUAUGAGUGAAAGAAAUGAAAUAGAUAAGGUAUUCUUUAAUCAAGCACCUAUCCUUAAACAUAAUUUACCUGUUAAAACUCUUGGAGGACCUCCUCCACCUAAGGGUGAUCCCAUGUUUGAAUUAAAGCAAUUACCUGACAUGUUGAAAUAAGCUUACCUUGAUGAAAAGAAGAUGUAGCAUGUUAUUAUUAGUUCUAACUUUUCAGAGCAUGAAGAAAAGAGAUUAUUUAAAAAUCUAAGGAAGCACCAUGCUGCUAUUGGAUACUCUCUUGAUGAUCUUAAGGGCAUUAGUCCCACAUUGUGUCAACACAAGAUUAAUAUGGAGCCUGAUGCUAAGCCAGUUGUUGAUCACCAACGAUGGUUAAAUCCUAAAAUGAAGGAUGUGGUAAGAACUAAAAUAUUAAAUAUUCUGGAAGCAGGUAUAAUCUAUCCCAUAGAUGAUAGUAGAUGGCUAAGUCAUGUUCAUUGCGUUCCUAAGAAAGGAGGUAUAACCAUUGUUUCUAAUGAUAAAAAUGAACUCAACCCACAAAGAAUUGUAACUGGUUAUAGGAUGGUAAUUGAUUUCAGAAAAUUAAAUAAAGCUACAAAAAAAGAUCAUUAAACCUUGUUUUUUAUUGAUCAAAUGUUAGAAAGACUAUCUAAGCAUACACACUUUUGUUUCCUUGAUGGAUAUUCUAGUUUUUCUCAAACACCUGUGCCAGAAUCAAGAGAAAACUACUUUUACUUGUCCCUUUGGAACUUAUGCUUAUAUAUGGAUGCCCUUUGGUUUAUGUAAUGCACCUGCCACCUUUCUAAGAUGUAUGACUACUAUAUUCUCUGAUUUUUGUGAAAAGAUUUUUGAGGUUUUCAUGGAUGAUUUCUCUGUUUACGGGACGUCUUUUGAUGAUUGCUUAAGCAACCUUGAUCGAGUUUUGCAGAGAUGUGAACAAACUAAUCUUGUCUUGAAUUGGGAGAAGUGUCACUUUAUGGUAAAUGAAGGUACUUUUCUUGGGCAUAAAAUUUCUGAACGAGGUAUUGACGUAGAUAGAGCUAAAGUUGAUGCAAUUGAAAAAAAUGCCAUGUCCUAAAGAUAUAAAAGGUAUAAGAAGUUUUCUUGGUCACGCUGGUUUCUAUAGAAGGUUUAUUAAGGACUUCUCUAAAAUUUCUGGGCCUCUUACUAAUCUCUUACAAAAAGAUGUUCCAUAUCUUUUUGAUGAUGAUUGUGUAGAAGCCUUUGAAAUGCUUAAGAAAGCCUUAACCUUUGCACCUAUUGUUCAACCACCUGAUUGGAACUUGCCGUUUGAAAUUAUGUGUGAUGCUAGUGACUAUGCUAUUAGUAAAAGAGUUGAUAAGACAUUAAAUGUUAUCCAUUAUGCUAGUAAACUCUGGACAGUGCUCAAAGAAAUUAUGCUACUAUUGAAAAAGAAUUUCUAGCAGUUGUGUUUGCAUGUGAUAAAUUCAGAUCUUAUAUUGUUGAUUCCAAAGUAACCGUGCACACCGACCAUGCUGCUAUCAAAUAUAUUAUGGAAAAUAAAGAUGAUAAACCUAGGUUUAUUAGAUGGGUUCUUUUUCUACAAGAGUUUGACUUGCAUAUUACUGAUAGGAAGGGAGCUGAGCAUCCCAUAACUGAUAAUUUGUUUAGAUUGGAAAAUGUUCUUGAUGACCCACUGCCUAUUGAUGAUAGUUUUCCUGAUGAACAAUUAGUUGCUAUAAAUCCUUCUCGUAAUACUCCUUGGUAUGCAGACUAUGCUAAUUACAUUGUUGCUAAAUAUAUACCACCUAGUUUCACAUACCAACAAAAGAAAAAGUUCUUCUUUGAUUUAAGACAUUACUUUUUGGAUGAUCCACAUCUUUAUAAAGAAGGAGUAGAUGGUACUAUUAGAUGUUGUGUACCUGAGCAUGAACAUGAACAAAUCCUACGGAAGUUUCAUUCCGAGGCAGGGUCUUUGAAACGAUUUGCACUCAAAAUACAUCUCUCACUCGUGAAGUUAUUUUGUUGGAAGAGCAAAACAUCGCCCUUCGGAGUAUCAACCGUAAGAUGGAAUAUCUGCUGAAGCUGAAGGAAAAGCCCACUACCUCAUCACGGAAGAAAGAAACUUAAGUACACGGGUAUGGGCACUCCCCUUGGCUUGUGCCAAGCUUGGGGCAGGUGCCCGGUAUCAUGUCACCGCCACUUUUAUUAUCUUUACUUAUCUUAGUUCGAUCCUUAGUUAUUUUUUGAUUUAGUAGAAUAAAAAUUUAGUAUGAUCUAUUUUCGGGUGCUAGUUUCGUGAUCUAUCUAUCUAUGUAAUCGAGUUGAGAGUUAUAUAAUAAAGAGUAGUUUGAGUUUUGCUUCUUUACUUUCAUGGUUCAAUCUUAGCAAUGAAAAUAAUGCAAAGAUCGUAUGCUAAUCCCAUGGAAAGUAAUGACUUUACAUAAAUAAAAGUAUAAGUGGUAAAAUUUAUUGGAAGUUAACAAACAUAGUUUUGGUCAAUGAUGCAAUUCAUGAAAGAUUACUAAGGGAAGAGAAGAUUCACAUAUAAAUAUACUAUCUUGGACAUAUUUUAUGAUUGUGAGCCCCCAUUAAAUAUUUUAUGUCAAAUAGUUAACGUUGGACAAGGAAGAAAACGUAAUGAGUUAUGUUUGCUUAUAUUCACAUAGAAGUUAUAUUGUUAUGGAUCCCCAAACAUGUGGUGCUUUCUCAAUAUCUUUGCUAGCCAAAAUUUUGCACCAAGUAGAGAUACUACUUGUGCAUCAAAAAUCCUUAAACGUCAGAGUCCACUAUAUCUACCUAGGGAUUUAAUAAGAUCCUUCAAGUAAUUUGUCAUUAGUGCAUAAAGCAAUAAAAAUUGCUCCUAAAUAUGGAUGAUUUUUUAUUGUAAGGGAAAAUAAGCUUUGUAUGAUCUUGUGAUGGUAAAGAAAUAAAAUCGACAGACUGCAUAAUAAAGGUUGCUAUCACAAGAGGUAAUAUAAAGUGAUGUUCCUUUACCUUAAGAGCUUGCACAUCCAAACAAAAAGCGCAUUACAACCUCUGCUUCCCUCUGCGAAGGGCCUAUCUUUUACGUUUAUGUAUUUACUUUUCAUGCAAGAGUCAAUAGUGUUCUCCUCUAUUCCUUUUUCAUUUUUCUCUUUUGCAAGCAUCAUGUGGUGGGGAAAGAUCUUGGAUAUAUAUCCAGUUGGAUAUGAGUUAUUAUUGUUGACAUUACCCUUGAGGUAAAUGAGUUGGGAGGCGAAACUAUAAGCCCAUAUCUUUAUAUGUGUCAGACUGAAACUUUUGGUCCAUAUAUAUGUCUUGAUUGUCAGCAAUCAUAGAAGACUAAAUGAUAGUUGAGUAUGAUUUGCUAAACAAAAUCUCUUACAUGAGACCCUUCCUGAAACUAUGAUGAACUGUAAUUGCCUUGUUGACUGAGAACAUAGUUUGUUAGUUUUCAAGAAAGUUUAUGCCUUAUACUUUGUUGUUGUGAUGAAUUGUUACUUGCUCAUGAGAAGUUCUACGAUAAUACAUAUUGAUGUUAUAAUAACAAUAAUGAUGCUUCCAUGUCCGUAUUUUGUUUUUAUCGGCACCUCUCUCUCUAAACAUGUGGGCAUGAUUAUCGAUAUCGGUUUUUGCUUUAGGAUAAGCGAGGUCUAAGCUUGGGGGAGUUGAUACGUCCAUUUUCCACCAUGUUUUCCUAUUGUUAUUUACAAUUUUUUAUCAAUAUAACACUUUCUGGAGCAAUUCUAAUGUAUUUUCUCUCUUAAUUUGCAAGAUUUACAUGAAGAGGGAGAUUGCCGGCAGCUGGAAUUCUAGACAUGAGAAAACUAUGUUAGAGAUACCUAUUCUGCACAACUCCAAAUGAUCUGAAAUUUCACAAAGAAUUAUUUUGGAGUAAUAAAAAAAUACUGGAGAGAAAAGAAAUACCAGAGCAGGCCACACAGGUGCCCACAAGGCACGAGGGUGCGCCCUGGUGGCUUGUGGGGCCCCUAGCCAGCCUCUGUGGCCCAUCUUCUGGUAUAUAAUCCCAUUUGCCUUAGAAAAAAAUAAAGAGAGGACUUUCGGGAUGGAGCACCGCCGUCUCGAGGUGGAACUUGGGCAUGAGCACUUUUUCUCUCCAGCGAAGCGAUUCCGCCAGGGAUGCUUCCCUCCGGAGGGGAAAAUCGAAGCUAUUGUCAUCACCAACAACCCUCUCAUCAUGGGAGAGCCAAUCUCCAUGAAAAUAUUCACAAGCACCAUCUCAUCUCAAACCCUAGUUCAUCUCUUGUAUUUAAUCUUUGUCUCAAAACCUCAUAUUGGUACCUGUGGGUUGCUAGCAGUGUUGAUUACAUCUUGUAGUUGAUGCUAGUUGGUUUAUUUGGUGGAAGAUUAUAUGUUCAGAUCCUUGAUGCUAUUCAAUACCCCUCUGAUCUUGAACAUAAAUAUUAUUUGCGAGUAGUUACUUUUGUUCUUGAGGGCAUGGGAGAAGUCUUGUCAUAAGUAAUCAUGUGAAUUUGGUACUCGUUCGAUAUUUUGAUGAUAUCUAUGUUGUUGUUUUCCUUAGUGGUGUUAUGUGAACGUCUACUACAUGACACUUCACCAUAUUUGGGCCUAAGGAAUGCAUUUUGGAGUAGUACUGGCCGAAAGGCAUUGUACUCGGCUUCUUUGCCGCUUCUUCUCUGAUGCAAUGAUACGCAUGCUUAUGCAUAUUUUAGAAAGAGAAAAAAGGUAAACAUGUUACCGUUUUGAAGGAGUACUUAUAUACAUCGGAUCUAACGCCAAGGUUUUAUGUUCAUCCCUGAUUACUAUAAGUGAAAUUAUUUUGUUUCAAAGUACAUAGCAUGCACAUGUUGUCAACUAAAUAAUGCAUCUGUUGUAACUUGGAAGACACAUUUGAUGAUGAAAAUACCAUCAAGAAAUCAAUACUAAUGGUUCCACUUAUACUCUAGAAGAUUCUUCAAAUAUUUACCCAAUAAUAAACUAGAAACUAUUGUUAGGAUAUUUGGCUCAUAGUGCGUCUUAGAUAUCUAUACCAUCACACUCUCUCAAUUUUCAUUUAGUCUGUAUAAAAUUCCAGGCCCACAAACAAAUGAAAAGAGACUGGGUUGCAUGCAGUUCAUGCAUUGGCAAACAAUCCCAAUUAGAGUUUGCUUGUGAUGCAUGUAUUAGUGCAGAUGGGCAAGACGCAAACUAAAUAAAAACGUAAACAUGUUAAAUGCAGAGUAAAAAAGUGGAGAGAGUAUUUAAGAAUAUCACACACACAUACAAAAUUUAUGCAAUUAAUAAAGUACACUUUUCAUCACAAAAUAUAGUUUAAAUUUAGCACAAAUAAUUUGAAAUGAUAUAUUAUAAUUGUAUAAGAAAACAAUAUAUUUAGCAAUAAUGUUAUGUGGUUAAUGACACUAUAGAGAGCAGUCAUACUUAUAGAUUUAGUAGAAUGCUAAAAAAACAUGUUAUAUAAAGUAUAAAAGUUUGGCAUAAAUUAUUGUUAUUUUAAUUUGCUCCAACAUGCAAAUUCGUUUGGAUAGGCACAACAUACAAAUCAAAAUAAGGAGGUGUUUGGUUGGAAAAUGGCAACACAAAUGGUAAUGUAAUCAUAAUAUGGUGGUAACGGAAACACAACGUGAAAAAACAAGUAUCAAACUUUUCAGUUGGGACGUCACAAAAUAUCAAACCAUCCCUAAAGAUAUAGUAUCCCAGUCAACAUUUCUAAUAGUAAUCAGGAUCAAACUAAAAUAAUAAUAAAUGGAUAAUAUUCAAUCAUUUAACAUAGAGUGCUUCCAAAGAGCACAUCAAUCACAUGGGAAUAUUACAUGCUUUUUAUUUGAGACAAAUCAGAAGCCUAGUAGUAGUGUCGAAUCGGUCCAUACCUUCGAGUCAAAAUGGUGCAGCCAGACUCAGUAGAGUAAGCAGAAGGGGAUCCUUGGACUGCCAACAGAGUGUAUCACCUCCUCGGACGGCUCAUGCCCACACCUGCAACAAAUGACACACCAAAGUGAUUCGCUAGGAGAAACAAAAGGAAAUCAUAGAUUUUGUAUCGAUUUUUCAGGACCAAUAUCAACAUAUACGAAGGGAGUUUACUUGUUUGCAGAUCCAGGACAAGAUAGAUCCAAAUCUAGGCCAUAUCCACCACCCAAUGAGGAGAAUUGUGCUCUAUCAGUUCCAAUCCCAAGAAAUAGAAAAAAUGAAAGGGAAUCGAGAAGAAGGGGUUUGGAAGGAGAGAACCCAACCAUUUUUUCAUGCUAGCGCGAUCUGAACACCCCCGGACGCUGCUUUCUAGCCAUGGUAAAAAUCAAUAUCAAACACAAUAUGAAAACGCAAUGGAAUUUGACCUGAAUUUUCAACACCAUUUUCCCCUCUUCGUCAGCUGCCCCAGCCGUGUGUGUUAAUACUACCACCAGCGGCGACGCACAUUGCAUCCUCCACAAUCCGUGCUCCAUGUUGCUGACACUUGAUCAAGAGCCAUACCAGACAGGUGGAUGCUCUAUCACCGACUUGACCAUCAUCUCCUCAUGGCCUCACAACCUCCUCGCUGCUAGAAGCAGGAGUAUAGUCCGUUCUCACCGACCGGAUCAACAAUUUUCGGCAUGCCAAACCAAGCCGAUCACUGUCGAUGCUAGGACCUCGCAGGAGAACACACUACUACAUGGAGGACGAGAUCGACAAAGGAGACAUGGCUUGUUACGUAUGGAAGCCGAGGAGGAAGGUGAAGGCUUGCAACGAGAAAACGACUUUCGCUCAGGUGUCGUUUUUGUGAUGGGAGAUUUUUGGUGUAAUUGAUAUUGAAUAGAGUAGUAUCAAUCACGUGCUAACUGAUUAUGAGCCAAUGUAAAUCAAACAAUCGUAUCGUUUUUCCUUUGCCCUGUAAUUGGAGGGCGGGAGGAAAUUAAUGAACUAAACACCUCCUAAGUGGAAAUAUCAAAAUAGAUAUAUAAAUCAAAGUGGCUCAUGAUAUGACUAAGAGCAAAAACUUUCCAAAAAUUAAUGAUGAGCGGUUUUCAUGAUGCACCAUCGUACGCAAGAAAUUCAAGAACAAUGGUCAUAUCACCAUCAAGGAAGGCGGUGUUGGUUCAUCGCUGCUCUCGGUGAUGCAAACAUUGUCCACUUCUAACGACUCGAUAAAUAUGAAACACAAAUGCCCCCCCCCCCACCCCGUUUUGGCACAUCUGUAAUGAUUAUUUUAGAUAGCAUNNNNNNNNNNNNNNNNNNNNNNNNNNNNNNNNNNNNNNNNNNNNNNNNNNNNNNNNNNNNNNNNNNNNNNNNNNNNNNNNNNNNNNNNNNNNNNNNNNNNNNNNNNNNNNNNNNNNNNNNNNNNNNNNNNNNNNNNNNNNNNNNNNNNNNNNNNNNNNNNNNNNNNNNNNNNNNNNNNNNNNNNNNNNNNNNNNNNNNNNNNNNNNNNNNNNNNNNNNNNNNNNNNNNNNNNNNNNNGGGGUUCACAACAUAAAUUUAUUUUUCUUCAGCUCCGACAGUGAUAAAAAAACACAACAUGUGCAUGCAUCAAAGAAUCGAUGAUCUGGAGAUGGUUGUACAUUGUCAUCAACUCUGUAGUGAAGUCUUAAAGCACUUAACAAGAAGUUGAAGAAAGCUUGUGCUAGCAACACUGAAGCAAAUAAUAAGACUUUGGGACAUGGACCCAAACUUGCAGCGCGCAGGAAUUAGUCUUGAUACAUGAACCACUCCUAGAUUGUUCCAAGAUUUGCGAGGGGUCCAUAAAAACGUCGUCGCAAGGCCCAACCACCUUGUGGAGCCGGCGAGGCGGUGUAUGUGGACAUUAUCUUGAAAAAAGGACAAUGCUCCACGAACACUAAUUAUGGUGACAGUGGUCGUGUCUAUCGACUUGGUAGUGCUCUGUCAAGUAUAUCAUGUUUCUUCCUCCAUUCUAUUUGUUCUUUAUUUGAUGUAAUCUAGUUGAUGAUUAUUUUCUUAGGUUUAGUCUAUUUGAUGCUUACAUUGUAAGAUUUACAUUUCACAUACCCUUGUCAGUGACUAAAAGAAAACAAAACUAGGAAUAAAUAUACAUUUUUUUAUAGUUGUGGCAAUUUUGAGUAAUAUAUCUAUGAGCUAUGGGAAUGAUUGAUAAACCAUGUUCCGCGCUUAGUGUGUUGAAUAGACGACCAAAUGCACAGUGGGGCGCGCGAUGGGCCUAGUAGAUUCCACGGUUCGGCCAAAUUUCUAUAUCUUUUUUUAUUUCUCUAUGAACAUUUUUUUAAUAUUCGAUGAGCAUCACACACACACACAUAUAAAUUUUUUUUGUUUUUGGACCCUCAAGUUCCCCAAAAGUAUAGACUUGAUCUCUCAAGAUUUUUUGAUAGACAUUUGGUCCUUCAAGUCUCAAACCCUGAUAAGUUUGGUCCAAAACCAGAUUUUGAGCACGUUGACUCGGUUUGACCAUGUUCACCAGGUUUGACUGAUGAAUAGUAAAUUAAAAAAACUGAAAAUUUGUGACAACCAAGAUGCUUGGGGCGCUAGUUGCGUGUAAAUUUUGGUGGUCAAAUAACAUCCGAGGAGCUAUAGCAAGAAAACAAAAUUUGGCUUUCUUUGUGAGCCAAAGUUUUUUUUGCCACAAGCUCCUCGAAUGUCAAAACACCAUACAGAUUUUCACGCACCUAGCGCACCGAAGCAUCUUGGUAACCACAUAAUUUCAGUUUUUUUAAUUCUCUUUUUGCUAUUUUUUUAAGUUUAGUGUUUAUCGGUCAAACCCGGUCAACAUGGUCAAAAUAUGGUUUUGGACGAAACUUACCUGAUUUUGAGACUUAAAGGACCAAAUGUCUACCAAAUUGACCUUGAGGGACCAAGUAUAUAUUUUUGGGGAACUUGAGGGACCAAAAACAUACUUUUCUCAUACAUAUAUAUUAUGGAUAUUUAAAAUAGGAACAUGAAUUUCUUAAGAAAAUAUAUACACACAAAUAUUAAUGCAUGAAUAUAUUUUUAUAGAUAAACAGAAUAUAUUUUUAGAUGAAUAAGCACACUUUAUAUAUAUGCAAUGAGCCUUUUCUGAGAUGCACGAACUUUUGUAUUUGCGCAGGUUAAAUAAAGAAACUUUAUAGGAUUUCUCACACUAUGGUCUGUUCGUAACUUCUUUGGGGAGGCCCAUUUAUGUCUGGCCCGACUUAAACAAAGCAGAGCUUUUUGUUGGGCUAGGGGGACCAUGGGCUUGUUUAUCAGGAAUGGCUUCUGGCUCGCACACGACCACCGAUGUCGCCUUUCUGCCCCGUCUGCAAAUAGCGCACGCGCAUAGGCAGCCGAUCAACACCGCAAGGAGGCCACCGGCGACCGUUCCACCAACGGCCGCAGCUACGGCACUUUUCCUCUUGGACUCCCCUUGGUAGAACUGUUUCUGUGGGAUCGGCGGGUUGGCCCCGGCGAGGUUGUUGCUGCCGUACGUCUGGAGCUUGAACACCUCGAGGCCGUUGAGUAUCGCGUCGUAGUACUCCGGCCUGCUGCUGAGGUCCGGGUGCAGCGCGACCCACAUAUCCAUCUGGCCGGAGCCCGUCGUGACGACGAGGUAGUCGGUGUACACCGGAACCCCUAUCCCUCCGCUCCACGCGAUGACGUCCAUCUGCUCCUGCGCCGUCUGGUUGUUGAUGUAGAUGAAGAAGGAGCGCUGGUUCACCCUGGUGAUCGGGUCCUGGAUCUCGCAGAAGUGGAACCUCAGGAGGUAGUAGAACCCCGCGUCCACGGGCAGGAUCCACGUGAGGUUGUAGUUCAGGUUGAUCUGCGCAGUCGGGCCCAUGGACCUCGCCGACGCGUACACGCCCUCCGGCGCGAUGUGCGGCGGCACGGACGGCGGGUAUCGGAUGGUGACGUCGCUGUCCUUCUCGAAGGAGACCCCGCCGGCCGCGCCGAAUAUGUAAGGGAUGUCCGUGUCCCAGGUGCGGUAGAAGCGGCCGGAGUCGUCAGCCGGAGAGACGGCCUCGCCGCCGACGUUGAGACGGUACAUGGUCUGGAAGGCCGUGUCGGCGCGGACGGGCAUCGGGUCCGGGCGCCCCCCGUUGGCGAAGGUCGGCACCGGCUUCGUGAACACGUCUGGCGUGGGCACGAUCUCGAUGCCGUUCACGAACGCGUAGUGGGAGGAGGCGCCGGGGGACGGGGCGAAGGUAACCUCCAGCCUCCCGCUCGAGUUGACGUUGAGGGAGAACUCGCGGACGAGGUAGGCGGCGUCGAGCGCGAGCGCGGUCUGGGACGCGUUGAAGUCCUGCAGCAGCGUGACGCCGCCGGCCGUGACGCCGAAGAGGGCGCCGGAGGCGCUGCGGUUGCCGUAGUCGGCCGGGUAGAAGUAGAGGCGGAGGAACACGCGGCCGGGGCGGACGAGGAAGGUGUAGGUGUGGCUCGACGCGAACACGCGCGCCGUCAUGUAAGGCACGGUAGAAGGCAGCGACGGGUCUUGAUACGACGCACGGGCCGCGACGCCGGCGUUCGUCGACGGCAAGAACAUGGACGCGGAGUCACCGUCCCACGCACGGCCGUCGGAGUCGGUGGCCGAGGCGGACGAGCCGCAGCUCAGGCGGACCUGCCCGGCAGGGUCGGUGGAGUUGUUGCCGCCGCCGUCCGCGGCGGCAAGGGAAAGGGACACGAUGGCUAGCAGCAAGAGGCACGGAAGCACAGUCGAGCAGGCCUUGGCCAUGGCCAUGGGACUACUAGCUGCUAGCAAAGCUAGUGUAGUGGCGGCUUUGCUUGGUUGGCCCGUGAUGAUGCGCGCGCCUCAGUUCGAAUCACGAUUGUUUGGCAUAUAUGGGCUGUGCAGAGCGUGGUUGUGGUGGGAGGCGAUAUUUAUGGGCUGUGGAGCACAAAUGAUUUCUGUCACUGUCUAUGUCUAGUGUCUACUGCCCUCCUGAACACGGUGUGAUAAUGGUAUCAUGCAUUUUUACCCGCGAAGAACACACUGAAAAUGCUCUGCUUCCUCUCACAAGUGGAGGAAAAACGACCCGAUUGAUCGUCUGGAAACGUGUUCGGCCUUGGUGGAUCCAAGCUGGCAGGCGGCCUAUUUCUCCAACGCGCUAUGGCAUGCACCGAUCGCAACCAGCUCCGGACGCGAACCACCGACCGAUGCCCGCUGGCAGGGAGCUAUCGUCGAAGGGUCAAAGUCGUCUCACAUCCUCGACGAAAACAACAGCUAGCCCGCCCACGCCGCAGUCACCGUGUCAACUUAUCUCUUGAUAACCCACUACGAGAUUCGGUUGGAGUUACUAGUAGUAGCACAGAGAAUUAUUUACAGCUCAUUUCCAGCGCUUCAAACGCACUUGUAUCAUGGUCGCCGAGCUUGACUGCUCUGCUCUAGUGCUCCUGAGCGUUCAGCGUUUGAAGCCACGUCGGGGGUUUUUGCUUGCCGACUUCGAUCACCAUCACAUAAUUAUCGCAUCGUCUUUUCCGGUAAAUAAAUGCUUUUUUGCUAAAAAUGGUGGCUGCGUCAACCGGAGCCAGCUCAUUUAGGGCAUCUUUGGAUUCUGGCCAUUUGGAAAAGCUAAGAAGGGUACAAAUGCAAGAAUCAAUUAAGAACAAAGGCGUCAAAACAGAGGACUGGAAAACAUGUAGACUUUUAUAAUUUGGGUCUUUCGAUCACAGGGAUAGGAAAAAACAUGAAAAUCCUAACGAACAUAGUUAAAUAAGAACCAAGCUGUAUUAAAGCGGAAAAAUAGAAGGGACAUUAACGUUAUCAUGCUGUUAAGGACCUUGGUCUCAGUUUUCAUGUGUAGGGGAAUUUGAAAACAAAGGUUCAAGUGGAUUAUAAAAUUUCUGCAUUUUUUCGUUGGAAUUGAGACUACCAGAAUUUUUCUUAAUUUUUCAUACUCUCCAUUCCUUUGAACCAAACAUAUGAAUAGCCCCACCAUAUAACAGUUUUCUAUUCCUAUGUUUUUUCUCCACUUUUCCACUAAACAAAAGGGACCCUUAGUUGUCACAUUUUUUUUCUUUAAAAAAGAGCUUCCUCUUUGAUUUUAACGAAACCAUCAUGUCCUAUCUUAGAAGCUGCCAAAAGAAAGCAACAAGUAGCAGGUACCUAGAGCAAAUGGGGAAUUCAUGCGUUUGGGCAUCCACAGACCGGAUCCUCAACAACAUGAGCACACACUGCCUAUUAACAUGCAAUAAUUUAAGCACACACUGCCUAUUAACGACCCUGCCAAAAGUUCAGCACACAACGAAAGGAACUUCAACACAUCGGGGUGCUGUGGCAAACCAAGCAUGAAGAGACAACAACACAUUCACCCCUGACCAUGUUCGUCUCUAUCCGCCAGCCACACACCACUUUCAUGACUUCAUUUGCUAUCAUUUCAAACAUUUUUACCCCGCACCGCAGCGUUUCUUGUCUUUCCAAUUUAUGCAAAAGGACCCAGUCGUUAAGCUAUCGAGCAAUCAUAUUAACAUGAACAUGUGGAUCAAUAUUAUUUUUGUUUUCAAACACACUACUAUUCCUCAGUUUCCAGAUUGUCUCGAACAAAGCUGAAACGCCAACUGUCAUCCAAUGUUUCUCAAAAAUUUCAAAUUUUAACAAUCCAGACAUAAAAAUAAGUCAUGGAUGUUAUUAGGCACAUCCAACGAAUUGAAUACACAUUUGAAAAUGUUUCAAAAACAUCCUGGAAAUAGAACAUUGCAUGAAAAGAUGGUCAAUUGACUCAUCUCUUCUGCAAAAGUGACAAGUUUUGUUACCAACCCACUCUCUUCUACUCAAAUUGUCUUUAGUUAGGACACUUUUCCUAAGUACUAAAGAGCUAUUUUGAGACCUCGGGGCGUCCAAAGAGCCUUUAGUAAAAGGCAAUAUUACAAGUGACUAAUUCCUUGUCUCCCUCAAUCUUCACCUCCUCUGAUCCAAAUAAUUCAUGGUAUUUUUUCUACGUCUUCACUAGCUUUAGCAUGAAAGUAUCUAGGUUUGAUAUCUCCCUCAAAUACUUCUUUAAUUUUCACCCUCAUUUCAGUUCCUCCUAUUUCCUAAGCAUGUCUAGUUGUGAUCUCAAUUCUUUUUGUUCAUGUCCCAUCUCAUUCGUAAGCCCAUGUAUCUCACAAUUUUAUCAAUGUUAUCAAGUUUGACCAGGAUAUCAUUAUUCAUGUCCCUAUAUCAAGCAUUCAUGUUUCUAUGCCUUCCUUUCGGCUUAGCCCUGAGUUUUCUUAAUUUCUUUUGCCAUCUAUCUAGGUUAGAUCCCCUCAAAGCAUGCCCUAACUGGGUUUCAUAGACGGCCUUCUGAAUACCCUCCAUUAGAAACUAGGAGUUUUCAAAUCUAAAGAUAGGAUCAAUAGUGGCAUAUUCCCUAAGUCUUCAUGACUAAUCAUAACAACAAUGGUUAUUAUUCUUGUUUACUUUAACAACUUGUUUAUUAUUCGUAGAUUUUCUCCACGCAUGUUUCUUUACAACAUAUAUAUGUUUAUACUGGAUGCAAAGGCCAAAAUUGGGAACUUAUUUAUGGUUGUAUCACCAAGAUACAUUUUGGAAAAUGAGUAACAUAUAACUCGCACUGCAAAAAAAAGACCAAUCACACCACGGGGUGUUCGAUGAUCGUCGACUUACGUUUGAUUUGUGGUAAAUGAUUUACAACAAUAUUCACAUGUGCUCGCGUAUUUCAAUUUCUUCCUUUUCGUUAAGUCUGUAGCGACCUUAUGCUUCCCUCCAUUGUAUCUAUCUUCCCAUGUUCCACCAGAAGCAUCUACUUCAUCUUUAAAACCCUCCCUCCACGAAAUUGCUCCACUAAACAAAAAGGGUGAUGUUUUCUCCACGUCUACCACCCCAUUCUAUCUCUCUUAAGCAUUACAAUGUUCUCUCUCUACCUUGCAAGCUCCUACAUAUACGUUGUUGCCCGUCUAAGAUGCCUCAUUGUACCUCCUGAAGUAACAUGGCACCGAGGAAAAAUAUGCAGAGCCUCUUCGAUCCAUGUGAUUUCAAGAACACAGAAUAGCAAAAUGUUGGAUUGCACUGGUGUGCCCACUCGAAUCCUACAUGGUUGUCUUUCUCCCAAAAAAUCGGAUGCACUACAUGAAAAACAAAUGAUUUUUCCUCAGAAGGUUUGAGCGCACAUACAAUUUUCUUUAAGUAAUAGUGCAAGGGAAUCCUUAACACCAUCCAUGCGGGGUUUGAUAAAAAAAUACUACCAUGUCAAAAAAUUCCCUAAGGACUAUAAUUCUCCGAAAUUUCAAUGGGGAUCCUCUAAAUCAAAUAGGUUCUGGAUUUAUCACUAACCAUCCUAGAUCAUAGUGUAAUCUAUGAAUCAAAUUCUGCCCAAAAAGGGAAGGUAAUCAUGACUAGUGAAAGACGACUAUGAUGGUUCUACUUCCAACCAUGCGGAAUGGCAAACACAGACUAAAGGAUGCCAAAAUGAAUUCGGUUACAAGUUCCGACAAGACACUUGGGAAAGCAAGCAUCGACGUGUAUGUGCACAAUUGUCACAAGGAAGUUUUCAGCAUGUCGAUAUGUUCAAUGUUGUUAAAUUGCUAUAGCAUGGGAGAAGUUGAAGUACUCGCUUCAAUCAAGGGAUCUAAACUGCCACUAGAGUGGACUUAUAUACAGAUCCUGUUGGAAUCAAAAUGUGUUGUUGUGGUGAAAUAUGUUCAUGCCAUAUGGCACAAACGCAGGGGUCCUCAUAGCUUGGAUUAGGGAGAUAUAUAUUUGUUGGCACUGAAACCAAGAUUUUUUUUAUCUCACACGAGUGCGAUACGGUGAAUCACAAAAUUGAACAAUUAGGCCAACAAUCUUUUACAUAAUCUCUCCCAGUCAUGGAAGAAAAAAUAAGAUACUUGUAAGACCACAUAGUCAAGAAAGUGCCAAAUGGAUGGUGGUCUACAUGGCCAUUUGAACUGGUGAAACGACUGUCAUGGGAAAUCUAAUGAAAUUAGGGUAACAUUCCUUUCUCUUGCACCAGUAUACAGUUUUAUUGCAACCAUGCUCAGACUGUUGGAUUCAUCAUAUUAUUUUAUUGCUCUAAUUGUGUUAUUUUUAUGUUGUUGUGUGGCAACGGUCAGUGUAUAAUGCAGAAGCUUGAGUCACAAACUCACAUCACAUUUUUGGCAUGAGUGUGUAUGUGGUUGAUGCCUCCAAAAUUUACGUUGUUUUUACCUCUUGUUUGUGCUCCAGUAGUAGCCUUUGUCGGAUUUUACUGUGUUCGAGCACGACUUUUUGUCUGUUAGAAUGCCACUACGAACGUCUUCGGGAGUUUAAGAACUUAACGCCAAGAUAUGGUGAUAAAAUCACAUCAAUUAACGUGAUAUAAUAUUACCAUAAAAGAAUAAAGCAAAAGGGAGAAGAGAGAGGCUUCACGGAGGAGUCCAGAGCACUUGACGAGGCAUGGUAUGAGCGCGUGUGCUCGUGCACGUCACCGUCUAGUCUAGUAUUUCACCCAUGUGCAGUCAGAUCGAUCAUCAGAGGUCCAUAGCCACCAGAAACAACUCCAGAAUGCAAAAUCCUAACUUCCAGAAGGCAUUCGAAGUGGAAAUCGGCAAGGAGGACUCUGUAAUUGUCAUCAUCAUGUGCAAGGAGGCGACGACAUCAACCAUCUACAUCACCAUACCAACUCCAUUUUGUUGUAAUAUCGAACCCUAGUGGAUCCUACGUGUAUUACUGUAAUUUAUCAUCCAUGUUUUUCACCGCUAUUCAUGUGAUGUUCUCCGUAUCCAUGUGUGAAUAGUUCCCUUAAUUAUCGGGGAUAUGGAUGAACCUUGGCAUGCAUAGGUGCUGAAUGCUUAUAAGAAUAUGAUAUUCUAUGUUGAAUGUCUGAUUUAUUAGCUUCGUGAAAUGUCGUGAAGGAGCCCCACACAACAUUUUCGGCUUGUAUGACCGCGAAGCAAGGUUGUCAGAAUCGCGAUUUUGAAUCGGAUCGGAGCUCUGAUUGUAGGAUCGCAAAUCGUAGAAUCUUCACUAUCAAGAUCGUAGAAACGUAGAUUCUGUGAACUAAAAUCAUAGAAUCAUAGGGGUUAGUUUGGAUCGUAAAGUCGUAGAAUCGUACAGCAGAAUCGCGAUUCUGACAACCUGGCACGAAGCAUAUUACUAUCAUUGUAAAGGUUAGGAUGUUGAGUUAAUUCGAGGUGACGGUAAAAUACUCUCUACCUCGCCUUCGCAAUUCUAAUAGGUGAAUAACCAAGAUCCCUUAGUGUGGUCGUGUCCACAAGGAAACCCUUAAUUACUCUAGUGAUAACCGAAGUGGGGAAACUAUGGUAGUGGCGUGCGUGGUAUGAAGUCUACCUCGAGCAGAACGUAUAUUAUACUUGGAUACGCCCAAUUACAAAUGUCAAGAGCAGCUCAAGUAUCCAACCUAGAACUACGCAAUAGCAUACAUAAUGUUGGACACCUACCAGUGGGAAUUCCAGACUCCCCGCUUUAAUCCUUUUGUUGGUUUCAUCGCUUUAUUCACCUCGCUAUGUUCUUUUACUUCUUUUAUGCUAUUUACUUUUGUCAGUAUUCUACUCAAAAUUAUUAUAACCUUCGCCAUUAUUUUGCUUUGCAUCUAUGACGAACUUACAGGCACAUCUAUACCACUAUAUAGUGUCACAAUAACUUCGAAUAUCAGCCGUUGGAUAUGCUCCGUCCAAGAGUUGAGAGACGAUAAAUCCAAAUAAUAUCAUCCAUUUGAUAAAGUUUUCAUCUCACUAGAUUCUGUCAUGUGGCCUUUUAAUCGAAUCCACACUAUCUCCUCAUAUUAUUCUAGAAGUAUCUUUUUCCCAUCCCAAGAACCCGAUUCUCCAAUAAAAAUAAAGGAAUAGAACAAUCUAGAUUGUAUAGAGAGUUGGGACCUAUCAAAUAUGAUUCGUACAAAAGGAAAUAAAAUGUCAAGAAUGCCUUUCACCCUGCUAUUAUAUAUGUCCUGAUGUGAAAAGCACAUAUAAUUUACUAGUUCCAAUAAGUCUCUAUAAGGGGCAAAUUUCAAUUCAUUUGCUCCGUGUGGGAUCGAUACUUUUACUUCAAAAAGGCCACAGCUAAACCCUAUGCACUUGCAGACCAUCCGUGGUGUUGUAAUUUGCAAAUAAAUGAUUGAGUUACUUAAGAUCUUUAUAUGUUGCAAUCCCGUAAAUUUCAGUAGAAGUGCCCGAAGAGUUGCAUUGGUGCGCAAGUGUUUGGGUUCUUCUUUUUUUGGCGGGUAUUAUUUGGGUUCUAUUACAACAACACACACAAUAUGUUACAAGCCUAAAGAUAACGGAGUUGACAUCUUAGUGUGAGCAGUUGUGCUUGGAAGAAUAACUAGAAAAAGAAAACACAAUAUAACAUUGAUGCAGGCGAAGAGAUCGAACAGAUCAACAUGACGAAUGCGAAAACAAGAUUAGAUGGUCAAAUGUGUUGUAUCACACAACAGGGUCUGUCCAAAUGAUCACCAAUGCCAGGUACAUGAACAUGACACUCACAAGCUAGAGUUCUAUUUUAUUUUCAAUUUUUUGAGAUAAGAGGGGAAUAAACAGCUUUAUUCAUGAAUUCCCUUUAUUCCGAAAGAGUCUGUUCUCCCAUCAUAAAAAAAAAUGAGUCGGUCCUAACAGGCCGGUUCCGCGACCCAACGUAACUGGAAAUCUCCGGAUAGGCUCGUACCGCAAAGCCAUUCUGGGCCGUAAUGGGCCCAGUCUAAAUCAAAUAAAUAGAACAACGGCUCUCUCCAUCCAACUUCCCCAAAUCCACCUUCUCUGCUUCUCGCGAGCACAAAGGUUCGCGGCGCACGGCCAGCAUAUAUACGCCGGCGACGUUCGAUCGUUGGCCUCGUAGCAUCUUGGCGUGCGGUGUUCCCGGAGACGCGAGAUGGGCGACUGGAAAAGGAAGUCCAUUGCUGGCGGACCGUCGCCGGGGAUGGGCGACUGGAAAAGGAGGUCCAUUGCUGGCGGGCUGCCGCCGGAGACGCCCACCGAAAUCAUCCCCGGCGCCUUGCACUUGAACCUGGAUUUCUUCUACCGCCCCGGCGCCGCCGGCGUCGCCUUCCCCAUCGACAGAGGUAGAUGACCAAGAAGACAGCACGCCCUCUUCUUUACUUCUUUCAGGCCCGCACGGUUCUUGAUUUAGGCCGCGGUUCUUGAAUUCUGUUCUGAAAGUUUCCGUUCUUGGUUUCUUGCAGCCGAUCAGAACGGUGGCCAAAGGAGGAUGGCGGCGGUGACGCCGCCGGCGACCAUGGCGCCACCAUCGCAGGCGCAGCAAUGCCAAGUUAGCGCUCCGUGCUCGUCGUCAACUCAGCUACCGCCGCCUUCUGAAUUGCUGCCUUAAAAUUGGAUUUCUUGGUUUCUUUCAGCCGGCUGGAACGGCGCCGACAGGAGUGAGCGGGUUGCGCCCUGGUGGCCGCCGGCUCAGAAUCAAGGUUCCGUCGGCUUCUCAGAUACCGCCCCUUCCCGAGGAUCUCGCCUACCUCUUCACCAACGUUGAAUGUAGGUUCCCGCUUCCCAGGAAAUAUUCAUGUUUCUGUCAUUGGCUUAAGGUUCUUUGAUUGGUGAUGGAAGCUUGGCUUGGUUGUUUCUUGCAGUCUACAGCGAGGACGACGAGGAGGCCGGCGAGGAGGAGGAGGAGGAGGCCAUGUUGUUAUGGAGCAGCGAGGAGGAGGAGGAUGGGGAGACCAUGUCGUCAGGGAGCAGCGAGGGGGAGAGGGAAGAUGGGGAGGACAUGUCGUCAGGGCGCAGCGAGGAUGAUGAGGAAGAUGGGGAGGACAUGUCGUCAGGGCGCAGCGAGGAAAUGGAGGCCGGCCACGAGGAGAUGGAGGAGGAGGCCGGCCAGGACGAGAUGGAGCAGGAGGCCGGCGAGGAGGAGGCCAUGUUGUCAGGGCACAACGAAGAUGGUCAGGUGGACGUGGACGCCAUGCUGUAUUGCCAUGAAGCAUUUCUGUCACAGAGGGAGGAAGAGGAGGAGGAGCCUGAAGAAGUCCAGGCCAUGUGCGUGCGAUGCGACUCCCUGGAGAGGUUGGUGACGCUCUUACCGUGCAGGCACGCCUCCUACUGCGAACGCUGCUUCGCCAUCGUCGACCGCCGCCAGGGAGCUGGGCGGCUGUGCGCGGUUUGCUGGCAGCCCUAUGCGCGGGGGCACCCUCAGUCCGGAGGUCUGCAGCCCAAGCCGAAGAAGAGCUCCAAGUAAGGCAAGCGCCACUGUCGCCUGUUCGAACGUCGAACUCUGUUCCUGUUUCAGUUCGGGCAGUCUCCUGUUUCAUUCAUCUCGGGUGCCGUAACGGGUCGCCUGAAUCGAUCCCAGUUCUCAUUCUUUCGUGUUUGGUUGAUGGGGAACUAUACUUGCAGUUUCUCAUUGCUUGUAUGAUGCACAGUUCUGACCUGUGUUGGUACUCCAUCACUUGUGGAGUUAUGGUUGAUUGGUAACUGUAUAAACUUCUGUUCUAGCUUUUGAUGAAUGUAGAGCAAUUCUGAAUUUCUGAUGAUUUAUCUGCAAAUAAAUGCUAGCCAGUUCUGUCAUUUCAGUUUUGAUGGUCAGGUUUAAAUUGCUGUAAAUUGCUGCUUGCUGCCUGCUGAUGAUCAGGUUGAAGAACUUGAGUUUCAGUUUAAGCAAACAGAGCCAUUUUUAGCUUGGAGAUAUGAAUCAGAGAAAUUUUGUCGUGGCGAAUUAUACUUGCAGUUUUUCAUUUUUAUUUUUUUUGAGAACAUCCUUGCAGUUUUUCAUUGUGUGAAUGAUGCACAGUUCUCAUAUGUGAGUCCAUCACUUGUGGAGUUAUGGUUGAUUGGUAACUGUGUAAACUUCUGUUCUAGCUUUUGAUGAAUGCAGCCACUUCUGUCAUUUCAGUUCUGAUGGUUAGGUUAAAAUUGUUGCUUGCUGCCUGCUGACCAGGUGGAUCAUACGUACGAGUAUUUGAUUUUAUUGUUCAAUGAUUGAAGAACUGUAGUUUCAGUUUACGCAGACAGAGCCAUUUUUAGGUUGGAGAUAUGAAUCAGAGAAACAAGUUUGGCCAGAUUUAGGAAAUAGUACUGAUGCCCAGUUUUCAGUUCAGCCAAAAGGGACAGUCGAGGUUCGAGUUCAGUUCAGUACCCGUGUCCGGUUUGCAGUUCAGCCAAAAGGGACAGUUUAAUUUACUGGAUUUGACUGAAAUUCAGUUGAUUUUUGAGGGAUUUUGAAGAAAAAAUGAAGUAUUUUCGAAUUUGGCUCGAGUUAAGGUUUCACUAUUUUUUUACUAACUGUAAAUAUCUCGGUAUUAACGGAAAUCACCGGAAUUUCUGAUUCUCUUGAAUAAAGUUUCUUGCCAAAAGGGAACCCUGGUUCGGUCCAGUUCACCUUCCAGAAAGACAGGGCAACGUUCAGAGUUCAGUGAAAAUGGUGCCNNNNNNNNNNNNNNNNNNNNNNNNNNNNNNNNNNNNNNNNNNNNNNNNNNNNNNNNNNNNNNNNNNNNNNNNNNNNNNNNNNNNNNNNNNNNNNNNNNNNNNNNNNNNNNNNNNNNNNNNNNNNNNNNNNNNNNNNNNNNNNNNNNNNNNNNNNNNNNNNNNNNNNNNNNNNNNNNNNNNNNNNNNNNNNNNNNNNNNNNNNNNNNNNNNNNNNNNNNNNNNNNNNNNNNNNNNNNNNNNNNNNNNNNNNNNNNNNNNNNNNNNNNNNNNNNNNNNNNNNNNNNNNNNNNNNNNNNNNNNNNNNNNNNNNNNNNNNNNNNNNNNNNNNNNNNNNNNNNNNNNNNNNNNNNNNNNNNNNNNNNNNNNNNNNNNNNNNNNNNNNNNNNNNNNNNNNNNNNAGGCGACUCGGGGGUUACCCUAACCGCCACCGCCGCCACCCCUCCCUCCCCCUUCCCUACCCUCCGCCGCCGCCCGAGGUGCCCGCCGGCACGCGCGCGCGACACCGAUGAAGGUGGCGGCGGGGAUCUGGCGGCUUCACCUGCGUGGAGUGCCUAGGCAGCCGGGGCGGUGGCCCCGGAUCUGGCAAGGCGGCAGGCGCGCCCGCAGGUGUGGGUCUUCGUCCUCGGCCGCGUGGGCGGCGAACGACGGGGGACACGGUGCAUGGUCGGUGGGCUGCUCCGGUGGUCCUCUGACCUCAGAUCUGAAGGUUGUUUAUCCUCUUUCCUCUAGCCCGCUCACAACCUGUGCUAGCGCCGGUGCUUCUUUGCCGGUCUGUUGGUAGCUGGUUGCGGUGGUGUUCGUCGGGACCGGGAGAAAUCCCUGGUUGGUGUCUCCGACUACGGCGGUGGCCAGGCCCUCGGGCGCGGCUCCCCUUCUUGAAGGCACCGUCGAGAUCCCCUCUUCCCACCCCUUCCCCUCCGUUCCAAGGUUAAUUCCUGUAAUCCCUUGCGGAUUCGGCGGCGGCGGCGCUCGGCGUCGUAACCUCCCUGGGGGCGUCGUCUGGUUAGAAGGGUGUAGGUGUGUGGUGCUAGAUCCGAGGUUUGCAAUUGCAGCGGGGGUCCGUGUGACAACUUGGUUUCCAGCGAUGCCGGGCUUGCCUUUCUCUGUUUGGUGCUUGUUGGCCGUCCCCUGUUCGCCGGUGCUCGGCUCCCUUGAGCCUGGGUGGAAAAGGAAAGGGUUCCCCUUCCCGGCAACAGAGCCGUGGCAGCUCAAUGAGCACCAGGGCCAUAUCCCUCGCAUCCUGUGCAUGAUAUGUUUCCCUGUUGCUCGCCGCAAGCUCGAUGCUUCUUCAGUUCCGAUGUGCCGUUUCCUGCAGCUUACUCUCUUCUUGUUUGGACACCGGCGGUCUGUGCUUAUAUGCCCAGUGAGGUAUGCCCGCUGCUGCGACAUGGAUGCGAGCACAUGUUCUGUGUCUGCUACCCCAAGAUCGUGCCUUUCCUUGUUCUAGGGUGAACCCAUCCCUCGCUCGACGGUGCGGCGUCCUUCAAGCCAGGAGGAGGGGGUAGGGACCCUCUUCGGCGAGGGAGAAGGAAGGUGUGGUAUCUUUCUGGUCCAGUGCAGGAGUUUUUGGCGUGUUUGUGGCCAAGGCGGUAGGCAAUGCCAUUGUCGCUGUUGUUUCCUUGGGCGCCGGUGUUUCGAGCUUCAAGGGCAGUCCUUUCUUCAAGCGGUUGUUCAUCUCUAUCUAGUUUAGGUGCUUGUAGUUUGGGAUUGUGUUGUAAGCUGUAUCUUCAGCACCCAUGUAUCUUUGGGCCGCUCGUGUUUUAUUUUUUUUGUAAGUGGCGUUGGGCUGCUCUUGUUGGUUGUAAUACCUGGCCGGUUGAUGGCUUUGUUAAUUCAAAGCCGGGCUCAUCCUCGAGCCUUCGUUCUAAAAAAAAUAAAUCUGAUGAUUUAUAAGCAAAUAAGUGCUAGCCAGUUCUGGCAUUUCAGUUCUGAUGGUUAAGUUAAAAUUGCUGCUUGCUGCCUGCUGAUCAGGUGGGUCAAACGAGUAUUUGAUUUUAAUUUUCAAUGAUUGAAGAACUGUAGUUUCAGUGCCUAUUCGGCAAUCCACCACUCCGAGAAAUACGAGAAUCUGCGGAGCAUCUGUUUCUCCCCUCUGUUAUUUUCAACUGAAGCUUCGCCCGCUCUGGGAGCGGAGUCGUGGAGUGGAGACUCUGAACAGGCCCUCAGUUUAAGCAGACAGACACAUUUUGAGGUUGGAGAUAUGAAUCAGAGAAACUAGUUUGGCCAGAUUUAGAAAAUAGUACUCGUAUCCGGUUUUCAGUUCAGCCAAAAGGGACAGUUUUAUUUACUGGAUUUGAUUGAAAUUCAAUCGAUUUUUGAGGAAUUUUGACGGAAAAACGAAGUGUUUUCGAAUUUGUCUCGAGUUGAGGUUUCACUAAAUGUAAAUACCUCGGUACUAACGGAAAUCACAGGAAUUUCUGAUUCUCUUCAAUAAAGUUUCUGGGCAAAAGAGAACCCUGGUUCAGUAUAGUUCAGCAUCCA